rnacentral:rRNA from 1 species
GAUGAACGCUGGCGGCGUGCCUAAUACAUGCAAGUCGAGCGAACAGAUGAGGAGCUUGCUCCUCUGACGUUAGCGGCGGACGGGUGAGUAACACGUGGAUAACCUACCUAUAAGACUGGGAUAACUACGGGGAACCGGAGCUACUACCGGAUAAUAUAUUGAACCGCAUUGUUCAAUAGUGAAAGACGGUUUUUGUGUCACUUAUAGAUGGAUCCGCGCCGCAUUAGCUAGUUGGUAAGGUAACGGCUUACCAAGGCAACGAUGCGUAGCCGACCUGAGAGGGUGAUCGGCCACACUGGAACUGAGACACGGUCGAGACUCCGACGGGGAGCAGCAGUAGGGAAUCUUCCGCAAUGGGCGAAAGCCGGACGGAGCAACGCCGCGGGAGUGAUGAAGGUCUUCGGAUCGUAGAGCUCUGUUGGUAGGAGAGAACAAAUGUGUAAGUAACUAUGCACGUCUUGACGGUACCUGAACAGAAAGCCACGGCUAACUACGUG